rnacentral:rRNA from 1 species
CACGUAGGGUGCGAGCGUUGUCCGGAAUUAUUGGGCGUAAAGAGCUCGUAGGCGGUGUGUCGCGUCUGCCGUGAAAGCCCGUGGCUUAACUACGGGUCUGCGGUGGAUACGGGCCGGCUUGAGGUAGGUAGGGGCAAGCGGAAUUCCUGGUGUAGCGGUGAAAUGCGCAGAUAUCAGGAGGAACACCGGUGGCGAAGGCGGCUUGCUGGGCCUUACCUGACGCUGGAGGAGCGAAAGCGUGGGGAGCGAACAGG